UGUUUUGCCCGUUUCCACGAAAGAUCAUAUUUGCGCAAAGGAGCAACGCGUGUGUGAUUUUUUUUCUACCCAAACGUGCGGAGUUUUUGGGUUCCCUCUUUUGUACAAAUGCAAUUACAAUAAAAACAAAAUACAUAAAAAGUGCAUUAAAGAAGAUAGAAAAAAGAAGUGAUUUUAACGAAGAAGAAGCAAUAAAAAAGAGGAAGUUGUCAAACUAAACCUCUAGCAAAUACAAAUAAUAAAUUAAACGAAAAAAGGUAUUAUUUAAAACCUUAAAGAAAAAUAAAGCUGAUUUUGAUACAAAAAAACAGCUUGUUAUUUUUUCGCCAACUUAUAAGUGAAGUUUUAUUUUCUGGUGUUUUAACGUGAGUCAGUGUGUAUGUUCACUCAAAAGAAGUAGAGAAGCAAAUAUAAAUAAAGCAAAAAAUAAAGUAAAGGAAAAAUAAAUUAAAAAAAAACAACAAAUUCCAUUUUGUAUACCAUAAGAAAGAAGUGAAAAUUUUUAAGUAAAUUUGCUUAAUUAAUCAAAAUUGUUUAAUUCAUUUGAAAUAAAAAAGGAAAAUAAAUAAUUUUCAUUCAAAGUCAUUUACACUUGCGCAUAUUCCAAUAAAAAUCUAUUGAAAGUACAAAUUGAAAACAAAUUUUUAAAGAAAUCAUUUAAAAACAACCCACCAUUAAAGCAGGAAUAGCAAGAAACAAAGUGAACAAAAAAAUAAAUUAAAAAAGAAAAAUUAAACAAGAAAUCAAGAUAACAAUCAAUGAAGAAAAUAUGAAAAUAUGCAAGUUAUUUAAUCAAUUUUAUUGUUGUUAACUAAUGUUUGCAUAAAAGUUUUGUGUUAAAUUAAACAAAUAUUUAGCCAACAAAUAAAGUGUUUUAAUACCAACAAUAUUUGCUUAUAAAAGAGAGUGUAAAAACUAAAAUUGCAGUUGAAUACAAAAUUUUGUGGAUUAUUGUGAAACUGCCGCCUUUUUUUAUGUCACGUGAAUUUUUUUUGUUAUAAAAUUUGUGGAUUGUUUGUUCGGAAAAUAAAUAAUACAUCUAAAACAGGUAAGAUGCUGGGAAUAAUGUAAAUAUACUCGUAAAUAUAUCAGCAGAGUUUAUUAAGUUAAUUAAGUGAUCGUGUUGAUCAUAUAUUAAUGGAAGUGAUAAGUUUCAACAUAUGGUUUUAGAAAGAAAUUGUUAUAACAUGUAAGUAAGAGAAAAUUUCUGUGAUUUAGAUAGCAAUGUAGUCUACAGUGAUCUAGUCCAAAGGCAGGGAUUUAGUGUAUAUACUAGCUUGAUCCAAUCUAUAGAUUAGACUGACCUAGUCUAAAAAGUAGAAUGAUCUACUCUAAUGACUAGAAUGAUGUUAUCUAAAGACUAGAAUGAUAUAGUCUAAAGACUAGACUGAUCUAGUCAAAAGACUAGACCGAUCUUGUCUAAAGACUAGACUGAUCUUGUCUAAAUACUAGACAGAUUUAGUCUAAAGACUAUACUGAUCAAGGCUAAAGACUAGACUGAUCUAGUC